UGAAAUUGAUCUCCCCGUGAAGAAGCGGGGAUAUAAAUAUAAGACGAGAAGACCCCAUGGAGCUUUAAACCCAACAACACCUAUCUAUUUUAUUCCCCCAUAUUUAUACGGUUAUGUUUGUUUGGUUUUAGGUUGGGGUGACCGCGGAGUAUAAAACAACCUCCACGAAGAAAAGACUAAUAAUCUUUAUCAGAGAAAGACAUUUCUAAGAAAUAAUAUAUUAACUUUAAAUGAUCCGAUAUUCGAUUAACGAAUCAAGUUACCCUGGGGAUAACAGCGCAAUCCACCUUAAGAGCCCUUAUCGACAGGUGGGUUUACGACCUCGAUGUUGGAUCAGGGUAUCACAGUGGUGCAGCAGCUACUAAUGGUUCGUUUGUUCAACGAUUAAAACCCU
rnacentral:rRNA from 1 species